rnacentral:rRNA from 1 species
AUUGAACGCUGGCGGCAGGCUUAACACAUGCAAGUCGAGCGAGCGGCGGACGGGUGAGUAAUGUCUGGGAAACUGCCUGAUGGAGGGGGAUAACUACUGGAAACGGUAGCUAAUACUGCAUACCAUCAGAUGUGCCCAGGUGGGAUUAGCUAGUAGGUGGGGUAAUGGCUCACUUAGGCGACGAUCCCUAGCUGGUCUGAGAGGAUGACCAGCCAGACUGGAACUGAGACACGGUCCAGACUCCUACGGGAGGCAGCAGUGGGGAAUGUUGCACAAUGGGCGCAAGCCUGGUGCAGCCAUGCCGCGUGUGUGGAGGAGGCCUUCGGGUUGUAAAGCACGUUCAGCGAGGAGGCGUUACUCGCAGAAGAAGCACCGGCUAACUCCGUGCCAGCAGCCGCGGUAAUAC